UACGAAGGGGGCUAGCGUUGCUCGGAAUUACUGGGCGUAAAGGGAGCGUAGGCGGACUGUUAAGUUAGAGGUGAAAGCCCAGGGCUCAACCUUGGAAUUGCCUUUGAUACUGGCAGUCUUGAGUACGGAAGAGGUAUGUGGAACUCCGAGUGUAGAGGUGAAAUUCGUAGAUAUUCGGAAGAACACCAGUGGCGAAGGCGACAUACUGGUCCGUUACUGACGCUGAGGCACGAAGGUCAGGGGAGCAAACGGG
rnacentral:rRNA from 1 species